GACGAACGCUGGCGGCGUGCUUAACACAUGCAAGUCGAACGAAGUGGCGGACGGGUGAGUAACGCGUAAUCAACCUGCCCUUCAGAGGGGGACAACAGUUGGAAACGACUGCUAAUACCGCAUACGGAAGGAGGGGAUUGCGUGUGAUUAGCUAGUUGGAGGGGAAACGGCCUCCCAAGGCGAUGAUCAGUAGCCGGUCUGAGAGGAUGAACGGCCACAUGUGGACUGAGACACGGCCCAGACUCCUACGGGAGGCAGCAGUGGGGAAUCUUCCGCAAUGGACGAAAGUCUGACGGAGCAACGCCGGGGGAGUGAUGACGGCCUUCGGGUUGUAAAGCUCUGUUAAUCGGGACGCGUUACCGGAAUAGAAAGCCACGGCUAACUACGUGCCAGCAGCCGCGGUAAUUC
rnacentral:rRNA from 1 species